ACACCCGUAUUUGUAUGUGUUAUGGGUUGCGAUGGAGCUUAGCUUUGUUCAAUUUUUUACACAAUAGCUAUGUAAAAAAUCAAACACGACCCACUGAACACCCUCCCAUCCAGGCAGAUCGGAGUCACUGAAAUGGCCUGAAAUGCCCCAAAAACGGCCACCUCGCACCAGACGGAGGCGC
rnacentral:sRNA from 1 species